AGAGUUAAUUCAACAUGACAACACAUUCUGAAGCAUUUUGUUGAUCAUUUUACCUAAAUUGUGCGUUUAAAGUGGCUGACAAUAAUUUUGGUUUUCGUUGUUUUCUUUGCUUUGUUUACUUUUCGCUCGUUUUCCAGUGAAACAAGAUGGCGUAGAACCCGCAAAAAAUCGACUUUUUUCACUCUCUUGUUCUUACGUGAUCUUGUGUCUUUCGUUCAUGCAAUAUUUCUAUAAAUUAAGUACUAAAGAUUUUGAUCAGUACACUGCACUAAUAACAGCGCUUUUCUGUUCAUAAAAUGGGAACAAUCCAAAACAAUGAUAAAGAGUAUAGCAGCUCGACACUUAGUUAUGGUGAAUUACCUAUGGAGAUAAUUCUUCAUAUUUUUCGAUAUUUGAGUGCUGCAGACAUGCAAAUAGCAGGUAGAACAUGCCAACGAUGGCGUGAAGCAACAUUUAAUACGGAGUUCACUAAACGAGUUUUAGUUCGAUUUUCUAAAUUAUGUCUAUCAGACAUGCUUACGCCGGCAAAGGACUACGCUAAAAGUGAAAUGCCUUUUCGGAACUUCUGCUUUGAGGAAAUCUCGUUCGGACCAGUGCAACAGGCUAUGAGCCACAUUGGGAGUACGGCUAAGGAAAUAAUAUUUGACAAUGUAGAUAUUGGAGUCAAACAGUUCUGCGAAAUCAUGAGGCUAUUACCAAAUAUAACUUCGUUAAAAAUAACGCACUGUUCACAGCUUUUUAUGUCAGGUUCAUUUUUAGAAAAUGAACCGGGCUUAAGCUUUGCAAAUAUACAUCACCUUUCCCUGAGCGAUAAUCAGUAUAUAUCGGAUGCAAUUUUAAUGCGUUUGACUGAAAUGAUGGAGAGCAUAUACUCUUUAGAUUUGUCCGGUUGCCACAUAGCUUAUCACAACGCGAUUCAACGGCGAUUUUAUCCAAAUGAAGGUGAUAUAUUACCAUGCGAAUCUAUAUUGACCUUUAAGUUCAUUAUUCGCAUAUUAGCAUUGCAUCACGAGCAUAUACGUUGCCUUAACUUUAGUAAUACAUUGAUCGGCGCCCCAGCUCUAUCUGCUCUAUGUGAGCUGGAAAGGGGAGAACUCCAUUUGCAUCGUCUUGGACUAGCGAAAUGUAGGCAAUUAAAUGCAAUAUCUCUCAAUUUACUUUUAACUUCGCAAACAAAUUUAUUGGUACUGGAUCUAUCGGACACAAUCUGCGUGAACGAUAGUUGUCUUGAUGUAAUUGUGAAAAGUGUCUCUUCGCUACAAGAGCUUAAUAUUGCUGGUUGUGUUAAUAUUUCAAAUGAAGGAGCGUCUCUUUUAAACAAAUUAAAGAACUUGAAGCAUUUGAAUGUAUCACGUUGUGAUGGUAUACAAUCGGACGGUCUUACAAAUGGAGUGGCAGCUACACUUAAUGUAACAUUGCUGAUUCUUCAUAUGAGUCAUAUACAGGUAUGCGAGGAGGCCAUCAAGGUUCUAGCUAAAAACCUUCCGGAGCUGCGAGUUCUAAACUUAGGGUACUGCGUGAAUGGAGUAACCGAUGAAUCAGUACAGAGUAUCAUUCAAAAUUUACGAUGGCUACGGGAAUUGUCUUUGGAAAGCUGCUUUAGGAUCACGGAUGCAGCUUUUACUGGUAUUAAUAUUACACAGUUAGUUCGUGCGCCCAACUUACGCAACUCGCUUGAUGGGAUUCAGUCGUAUUCAAAUCUGGAAAAUCGUGAUUGCUUAAAUAAAUCCAAUCAAUUGUUUAAGAUCUCAUUGCGAAGCAAAGCGGAAGAGGAAAUUGUUCGUGACGCCAAUAGAAAAAAAGCGAUGUUCGAAGCUUAUGAGCUAAACUUGAUUGAAGAAUGUAGUACCGAUGGCUAUAAUUUAAAGCAUUUAAAAGGUCUCAAAUCUUUAAACUUGAGUAGCUGCAAUAAAAUAUCAGAUGUGUCUUUAAAAUAUGGCAUACAAUUUCUUGAGUUGCGCCAUUUAUCGCUUUCUAAUUGCCAACAAAUUUCGCUUAUUGGCGUUCAACAAAUGGUGAAGGAUUGUCCUUCCAUAGAAAUUCUUGAUUUGUCGGACUGCGAAAGUAUUAAUGAUAAAGCUAUACAAAUAAUAACAAAAGCACUGACCAGACUCCGGAUUCUACACAUAAGUGGAUGCAGCCAGUUAACUGAUCACAGUUUGGACGCUAUCUUAGUGAAUUGCAAAAAUUUACAGGUUGAGCUAUUAAUCCCCAAAAAAGCGGCGAUUUAUUCAAGAGAAUUCCGGGUUUUCAGAACAGUGCCUUUUAAGUUUUAGAGCUGUUAGAGUUGGUUAUUGAAGCAGUGUCUAAUCAGCGGCGCUACCAACAGCGGUGUUAUAAGCAAGUUCCAGAUUAUUGGAGCAGUAACCUAUAGGAGAACACUUCCUCCUUUCCAGAAAGGAAUUUUGAUGAGCAAAAAUCUCUACGGUCGUUGUUCCAUUG
rnacentral:misc_RNA from 1 species